rnacentral:rRNA from 1 species
AUUGAACGCUGGCGGCAGGCCUAACACAUGCAAGUCGAGCGGAGCGGCGGACGGGUGAGUAAUGCAUAGGAAUCUGCCUGGUAGUGGGGGAUAACGUCCGGAAACGGGCGCUAAUACCGCAUACUAUCAGAUGAGCCUAGGUCGGAUUAGAUAGUUGGUGGGGUAAAGGCCUACCAAGGCGACGAGCCGUAACUGGUCUGAGAGGUUGAUCAGUCACUCGGGACCUGGUACACGCUCCAGAUUCCUACGAGAGGCAGCAGUGGGGAAUAUUGGACAAUGGGCGAAAGCCUGAUCCAGCCAGGCCGCGUGUGUGAAGAAGGUCUUCGGAUUGUAAAGCACUUUAAGUUGGGAGGCGUUACCAGCAGAAUAAGCACCGGCUAACUUCGUGCCAGCAGCCGCGGUAAUUC